rnacentral:rRNA from 1 species
GUAAUCCUACGGGGGGCAGCAGUGAGGAAUAUUGGUCAAUGGUCGGGAGACUGAACCAGCCAAGCCGCGUGAGGGAGGAAGGUACAGAGUAUCGUAAACCUCUUUUGUCAGGGAACAAAGGCGGGGACGUGUCCCCGGAUGAGUGUACCUGAAGAAAAAGCAUCGGCUAACUCCGUGCCAGCAGCCGCGGUAAUACGUAGGUGGCAAGCGUUGUCCGGAUUUAUUGGGCGUAAAGCGAGUGCAGGCGGGUUAAU